AUUGAACGCUGGCGGCAGGCCUAACACAUGCAAGUCGAGCGCGCGGCGGAUGGGUGAGUAUUGUCUGGGAAACUGCCUGAUGGAGGGGGAUAACUCCUGGAAACGGUAGCUAAUACCGCAUACCCUCAGAUGUGCCCACAUGGGAUUAUCUAGUAGGUGGGGUAACGGCUCACCUAGGCGACGAUCCCUAGCUGGUCUGAGAGGAUGACCAGCCACACUGGAACUGAGACACGGUCCAGACUCCUACGGGAGGCAGCAGUGGGGAAUAUUGCACAAUGGGCGCAAGCCGGAUGCAGCCAUGCCGCGUGUAUGAAGAAGGCCUUCGGGUUGUAAAGCACUUUCAGCGGGGAGGCGUUACCCGCAGAAGAAGCACCGGCUAACUCCGUGCCAGCCGCCGCGGUAAUUC
rnacentral:rRNA from 1 species